UACGAAGGGGGCUAGCGUUGCUCGGAAUCACUGGGCGUAAAGGGUGCGUAGGCGGGUAUUUAAGUCAGGGGUGAAAUCCUGGAGCUCAACUCCAGAACUGCCUUUGAUACUGAGUAUCUUGAGUACGGGAGAGGUGAGUGGAACUGCGAGUGUAGAGGUGGAAUUCGUAGAUAUUCGCAAGAACACCAGUGGCGAAGGCGGCUCACUGGCCCGUUACUGACGCUGAGGCACGAAAGCGUGGGGAGCAAACAGG
rnacentral:rRNA from 1 species